UGUGAAUGUUGGCCUUGAAGGAACAAGCUU
rnacentral:piRNA from 1 species